rnacentral:rRNA from 1 species
GGGUUGUGAGGUUAAGCGACUAAGCGUACACGGUGGAUGCCCUGGCAGUCAGAGGCGAUGAAGGACGUGCUAAUCUGCGAAAAGCGUCGGUAAGGUGAUAUGAACCGUUAUAACCGGCGAUGUCCGAAUGGGGAAACCCAGUGCAAUUCGUUGCACUAUCGUUAACUGAAUACAUAGGUUAACGAGGCGAACCGGGGGAACUGAAACAUCUAAGUACCCCGAGGAAAAGAAAUCAACCGAGAUUCCCCAGUAGCGGCGAGCGAACGGGGAGCAGCCCAGAGUCUGAAUCAGCUUGUGUGUUAGUGGAACGGUCUGGAAAGUCCGACGGUACAGGGUGAUAGUCCCGUACACCAAAAUGCACAGGUUGUGAACUCGAAGAGUAGGGCGGGACACGUGGUAUCCUGUCUGAAUAUGGGGGGACCAUCCUCCAAGGCUAAAUACUCCUGACUGACCGAUAGUGAACCAGUACCGUGAGGGAAAGGCGAAAAGAACCCCGGCGAGGGGAGUGAAAAAGAACCUGAAACCGUGUACGUACAAGCAGUGGGAGCACCUUCGGGUGUGACUGCGUACCUUUUGUAUAAUGGGUCAGCGACUUAUAUUCUGUAGCAAGGUUAACCGUAUAGGGGAGCCGCAGGGAAACCGAGUCUUAACUGGGCGUUAAGUUGCAGGGUAUAGACCCGAAACCCGGUGAUCUAGCCAUGGGCAGGUUGAAGGUUGGGUAACACUAACUGGAGGACCGAACCGACUAAUGUUGAAAAAUUAGCGGAUGACUUGUGGCUGGGGGUGAAAGGCCAAUCAAACCGGGAGAUAGCUGGUUCUCCCCGAAAGCUAUUUAGGUAGCGCCUCGUGAACUCAUCUUCGGGGUAGAGCACUGUUUCGGCUAGGGGGUCAUCCCGACUUACCAACCCGAUGCAAACUACGAAUACCGAAGAAUGUUAUCACGGGAGACACACGGCGGGUGCUAACGUCCGUCGUGAAGAGGGAAACAACCCAGACCGCCAGCUAAGGUCCCAAAGUCAUGGUUAAGUGGGAAACGAUGUGGGAAGGCACAGACAGCCAGGAUGUUGGCUUAGAAGCAGCCAUCAUUUAAAGAAAGCGUAAUAGCUCACUGGUCGAGUCGGCCUGCGCGGAAGAUGUAACGGGGCUAAACCAUGCACCGAAGCUGCGGCAGCGACACUAUGUGUUGUUGGGUAGGGGAGCGUUCUGUAAGUCUGCGAAGGUGACCUGUGAGGGUUGCUGGAGGUAUCAGAAGUGCGAAUGCUGACAUAAGUAACGAUAAAGCGGGUGAAAAGCCCGCUCGCCGGAAGACCAAGGGUUCCUGUCCAACGUUAAUCGGGGCAGGGUGAGUCGACCCCUAAGGCGAGGCCGAAAGGCGUAGUCGAUGGGAAACAGGUUAAUAUUCCUGUACUUGGUGUUACUGCGAAGGGGGGACGGAGAAGGCUAUGUUAGCCGGGCGACGGUUGUCCCGGUUUAAGCAUGUAGGCUGAUUAUCCAGGCAAAUCCGGAUAAUCAAGGCUGAGGUGUGAUGACGAGGCACUACGGUGCUGAAGUAACAAAUGCCCUGCUUCCAGGAAAAGCCUCUAAGCAUCAGGUAACAUUAAAUCGUACCCCAAACCGACACAGGUGGUCAGGUAGAGAAUACCAAGGCGCUUGAGAGAACUCGGGUGAAGGAACUAGGCAAAAUGGUGCCGUAACUUCGGGAGAAGGCACGCUGGUGUGUAGGUGAAGUCCCUGCGGAUGGAGCUGAGACCAGUCGAAGAUACCAGCUGGCUGCAACUGUUUAUUAAAAACACAGCACUGUGCAAACACGAAAGUGGACGUAUACGGUGUGACGCCUGCCCGGUGCCGGAAGGUUAAUUGAUGGGGUUAUCCGUAAGGAGAAGCUCUUGAUCGAAGCCCCGGUAAACGGCGGCCGUAACUAUAACGGUCCUAAGGUAGCGAAAUUCCUUGUCGGGUAAGUUCCGACCUGCACGAAUGGCGUAAUGAUGGCCAGGCUGUCUCCACCCGAGACUCAGUGAAAUUGAACUCGCUGUGAAGAUGCAGUGUACCCGCGGCAAGACGGAAAGACCCCGUGAACCUUUACUAUAGCUUGACACUGAACAUUGAGCCUUGAUGUGUAGGAUAGGUGGGAGGCUUUGAAGCGUGGACGCCAGUCUGCGUGGAGCCAACCUUGAAAUACCACCCUUUAAUGUUUGAUGUUCUAACGUUGGCCCCUGACCGGGGUUGCGGACAGUGUCUGGUGGGUAGUUUGACUGGGGCGGUCUCCUCCCAAAGCGUAACGGAGGAGCACGAAGGUUAGCUAAUCCUGGUCGGACAUCAGGAGGUUAGUGCAAUGGCAUAAGCUAGCUUGACUGCGAGCGUGACGGCGCGAGCAGGUGCGAAAGCAGGUCAUAGUGAUCCGGUGGUUCUGAAUGGAAGGGCCAUCGCUCAACGGAUAAAAGGUACUCCGGGGAUAACAGGCUGAUACCGCCCAAGAGUUCAUAUCGACGGCGGUGUUUGGCACCUCGAUGUCGGCUCAUCACAUCCUGGGGCUGAAGUAGGUCCCAAGGGUAUGGCUGUUCGCCAUUUAAAGUGGUACGCGAGCUGGGUUUAGAACGUCGUGAGACAGUUCGGUCCCUAUCUGCCGUGGGCGCUGGAGAAUUGAGGGGGGCUGCUCCUAGUACGAGAGGACCGGAGUGGACGCAUCACUGGUGUUCGGGUUGUCAUGCCAAUGGCACUGCCCGGUAGCUAAAUGCGGAAGAGAUAAGUGCUGAAAGCAUCUAAGCACGAAACUUGCCCCGAGAUGAGUUCUCCCUGAGACUUUAAGUCUCCUGAAGGAACGUUAAAGACGAUGACGUUGAUAGGCCGGGUGUGUAAGCGCAGCGAUGCGUUGAGCUAACCGGUACUAAUGAACCGUGAGGCUUAACCUUACAACGCCGAAG